rnacentral:rRNA from 1 species
UGGGGAAUAUUGGACAAUGGGCGCAAGCCUGAUCCAGCAAUGCCGCGUGCAGGAUGAAGGUCUUCGGGUUGUAAACUGCUUUUGUACGGGGCGAAAAGGUCUGACCUAAUACGGUGGGCUCAUGACGGUACCGUAAGAAUAAGCACCGGCUAACUACGUGCCAGCAGCCGCGGUAAUACGGAGGGUGCGAGCGUUAAUCGGAAUUACUGGGCGUAAAGCGUGCGCAGGCGGUUAAAUAAGACAGAUGUGAAAUCCCCAGGCUCAACCUGGGACCUGCAUUUGUGACUGGAUAGCUAGAGUACGGUAGAGGGUGAUGGAAUUCCGCGUGUAGCAGUGAAAUGCGUAGAUAUGCGGAGGAACACCAGUGGCGAAGGCAACCCCCUGGACCGGUACUGACGCUCAUGCACGAAAGCGCGGGGAGCAAACA